rnacentral:rRNA from 1 species
CGAAGGGGGCUAGCGUUGUUCGGAAUUACCGGGCGUAAAGCGCGCGUAGGCGGUUUUGCAAGCCAGAGGUGAAAUGCCUGAGCUCAACUUAGGAAUUGCCUUUGGGACUGCGAGGCUUUGAGGACUGGAGAGGUGAGUGGAAUUCCCAGUGUAGAGGUGAAAUUCGUAGAUAUUGGGAAGAACACCGGUGGCGAAGGCGGCUCACUGGCCAGUUUCUGACGCUGUAGCGCGAAAGCGUGGGGAUCAAACAGGAUUAGAUACCCUGGUAGUCCACGCUGUAAACGAUGAGUGCUAGGCGUCGGCAUGCUUGCAUGUCGGUGCCGCAGCUAACGCGUGAAGCACUCCGCCUGGGGAGUACGGUCGCAAGAUUA